rnacentral:lncRNA from 1 species
CUCCUUCUUGCCACACAUAUGGUUGCUACAACCUGAGUCAAGAAACCAUAACUCCUCUUUGCUAGCUUCCUUGCCAUCUGCAUGUGCCAUUAAUAAUAUUUCUCCACUAGCUUCUGCAUACUGUGCCUUUGUCUCUGUCUCCUUGUUUGGACAUUCAUAUUGAAAAUGUCCAAGCUUAUGGCAAUUAUAGCACUCAAUGGUAGACUUGUCAAAGCUUUGUCUACUUCUACCUCUUCCUCUUCCUCUAAAUCCACCACGACCUCGUCCUCUUCCUCUUGAUUGAUCUUCAUAGGCAACCUUCAAUGCUUGUUCUUCCACAAGAUGGCCAUUCAUGCGUUGUUCAUGCACCAAAAGAC